AUACGGAGGGGGCUAGCGUUGUUCGGAAUUACUGGGCGUAAAGCGCGCGUAGGCGGGCUGGUCAGUCAGGGGUGAAAUCCCGGGGCUCAACCCCGGAACUGCCUUUGAUACUGCCAGUCUAGAGGUCGAGAGAGGUGAGUGGAAUUCCGAGUGUAGAGGUGAAAUUCGUAGAUAUUCGGAGGAACACCAGUGGCGAAGGCGGCUCACUGGCUCGAUUCUGACGCUGAGGUGCGAAAGCGUGGGGAGCAAACAGGAUUAAAUACCCUAGUAGUCC
rnacentral:rRNA from 1 species